UGGAGCGUCCUCUUCCUAGUUCCCCGCGUUCUCUGCACCCUGAAGUCGCUGCAGUGACCUCCCUACCUGACUCUUAGGGGAUUUCCCCUGAGAAUUUGGGGGCCGGGGGGAGAAGGUGGUAGGCUUAAUCUGUUGUUGUUGUAUUUUGACUGGGGGCUUGAUUUCUUUUGUCGAGAGCUGAACCAGAAAGGGUUCGCAUGGCUGCGAUGUGCUUGCUAAUAUCGUGACUCUUGACUCCUGCAGAGUAUCCGAGAGGGUCUCCUGGCGUCUGUUUUAAGGUUCUCUGGAAGGGACAAUGGUCAGGGACCCCACUCCUCCGGGAGAUUCUGAUCAAAGGUCACGUCCUUCGCCAGCCUCUAGUGUCCAGCCAGAGGUCUUAAAUUUAUUCAACCGUAAGAUUGAGAUGACAUCUGCCUGGGCUGUUGAGAGCACUGAAAAAGCUAAUAUACUUGUGGCGCUUAGUAUACUGUUCCAGGCCUCUGGUAGGCGCCUUUUCUUUUCUCCCUGCUCCGGAUCUUUCGAUUCUAGGAAUGUGUUCGGAGUGGUAAACAUUGGGUAAGAUACUGUGAAAUGGGAAUGGGGGUGUGAAUGUGUGGGGAGUUUGAAUGUUGCAAUCUUAACUUCAGUGGCGCAUACACAGAGGAGAAGAAAAGAAUGACGAUGGAAACUUUCGGGAAAAUCCCAUCUGGAUGAAAAUAAACCAGGAGGAGAGAGAGAAGACAAGCAGAAAAGUUGCAAGAGAACUAGAACCCUAAGAGGAGAAGCAGUUUUCACCUUCUUAGUAGCAAAUCUUGUUUUUCUCUAUAGUGGUUUUUAUUAACUUCCAAAGGAAAACUGAAGAUCCUAACCCCUGUGUCAUGAGUUACCACGUUAGAAGUCCAUAGAAAAAAAAUUUUUUGAACCCAGUUCUUUUUGUGUAUAUAUUUUUUGCCUUGAUAAUAAUAGUUUAUUGAGUUUAUCGAGUGACACAUUGCCUAAUCGUAUGGCUUAUUUUUAAUUCCUCAGAUACAUGAUCUUUCUGUAUAGUCUUAAACAGUCUUUACCCCUAGUCACUUUGGAUGAAAAGCUUGGUAGAGAGGUUGAGUUUGAUAUCUAAGUGUCAGUGGCAUCAAACUCAGGGAGCCAGGUAUUAUGAUAAAGUGCUUAACAUAUUCAAUGAAUCCCUACAACAGGCUGAAGAUGUUAUUUUUAUCACCAUUUUAAAAAAUGUUUAUUCACUUGUAAUUGAAGACCUCUACGCUGCACAUAUAUAAAGCUGUAAGUUUGGUUUGAUCAGUUUUGACAUAUAUGUAUACCCAUUAAACCAUUACUACAAUAAAAAUAAUCUUCCGUCAUUCCCAAAAGUUUUCUUGUGCCCUUUGUAAUCCAUCUCUCUUUCCAACUUCAUACCGAAGCAACCACUUUCUGUCAGUAGAGACUAUUUUGCAUUUUCUUGAAUCUUAAAUAAAUGAAAUCAUACACAG